UACGUAGGUGACCAGCGUUGUCCGGAUUUACUGGGCGUAAAGAGCGCGCAGGCGGCUGGGCAAGUCCGAUGUGAAAGCUUCCGGCUUAACUGGAAAAUUGCAUCGGAAACUGCUCGGCUUGAAGGUGGGAGAGGGUAGCGGAAUUCCCGGUGUAGUGGUGAAAUGCGUAGAUAUCAAGAGGAACACCUGCGGCGAAGGCGGGUUGCUGGGCCGACACUGACGCUGAGGCGCGAAAGCUAGGGGAGCGAACGGG
rnacentral:rRNA from 1 species